rfam:Dictyostelium discoideum AX4 chrTn_0006 genomic scaffold, whole genome shotgun sequence.
AAUAUGGCUGCUGAAAUUAAUAUGGUAAUUUUGGCAUGGGACUUAUGUCUGCUAGAAUUACCAUAUUAAUUUCAGCAGCCAUAUUAA